rnacentral:lncRNA from 1 species
AAGGGAGAGGUCCUGGGAUGACCUAAUCACUGAAGAUUUCCAGGACAAUCUGUAGCUUGAGCAAGGCCUGGAGGGAGAAUCCACUGUGUUUCUCUCCUGCUUCCCUUGGUGGGGGAGAAGAAACAGUCUAUACCCAAGGCUGCUGCCACCUCCAGUAUUGCUUGUAAGGAUUGGUUAACGUUCCAGGCUUUAAAGAACCUGCCUGCCCCAGGAAUCUGUUCCCGAAGAUAAGAGAGAUAAAAUCAAACACAAUGAAAUGAAGUUAUUAUGACUAUUUAUAGAUGAUAGCCAAAACCAAGGUGAUACAUCUGGAAGUCACAAAAUGGCAAAGACUGCCUGCACUUUCCAGAAGCCAGGAGAGUAGUGCGGAAUGGAUUCUCCCUCUUAGAGGCACCGAUCUUGCUGGCAUCCAUCCUGAUUGCGGACUUCUGCCUACCACACCUCUGAGACAGUGAAUUGUGUUAUUUAAG